UACGUAGGGUGCAAGCGUUGUCCGGAAUUAUUGGGCGUAAAGAGCUCGUAGGCGGUCUGUCGCGUCUGCUGUGAAAACUCAGGGCUUAACCCUGAGCUUGCAGUGGGUACGGGCAGACUAGAGUGCGGUAGGGGAGACUGGAAUUCCUGGUGUAGCGGUGAAAUGCGUAGAUAUCUGGAGGAACACCGGUGGCGAAGGCGGCGUUCUGGACUGCAACUGACACUGAGGAACGAAAGCCAGGGGAGCAAACGGG
rnacentral:rRNA from 1 species